rnacentral:tRNA from 1 species
GGGGGUGGAUGGGGCCCGGUGGUCUUCGCGGUCUUCAAAACCGUUGCGAGGCAUCUGCGGGAUGUCUCGGGUGGGUUCGACUCCCACGCACCCCCGCCA